GUAUCAACGGCACCACGAGGGCCCAACUGUCUCCUCUCUCCAAUCAAUGAAACUGAUCUCUCCGUGAAGAAGCGGAGAUUUAACUAUAAGACGAGAAGACCCCAUGGAGCUUUAAACCUGACUACACCCUUAUCUAUUAUACCCCCUUAAUCAACAGGACCCUGUCUGUCAGUUUUAGGUUGGGGUGACCACGGAGCACAAAUAAACCUCCAUGAUGAACUGGACUAACCCAUUAUCUAAGAAAAACACCUCAAAGAAUUAGCACACUAACAUAAAAUGAUCCGACACUCGAUCAACGAACCAAGUUACCCUGGGGAUAACAGCGCAAUCUACUUCAAGAGCCCAUAUCGACAAGUGGGUUUACGACCUCGAUGUUGGAUCAGGGUAUCCUAGUGGUGCAGCAGCUACUAAAGGUUCGUUUGUUCAACGAUUAAAACCCU
rnacentral:rRNA from 1 species